CAUCCAGCCUGCCAGUUUAUGGUUUCUGACGAGAGCUUUCAUGUAAACAAUUAUUAAUCCGAAGUCGAAACCAAAUCGUUUGUCAACCUACGUGAUGAUGAAGAUAUAGUUAUUUACAAGACAACAUUGAGAACCAGGCCCAAAGCAUUUAUGAAGACAACUUGGCACCUCCCCGUCUCCUAUAGACCAAGAUGUCCAGAACCCAGAAUUAUAUACUUGGAAAGAAACUUCUAAGCUAUACCCCAUGGUCCUGCAUCACCAGUAUUUUACACCAAACAAUUUAUGCAUCAAUGUAUGGAUUACACAAUCUAAUCCUCUGAUCCAAGCCAUAUUUAGAAAAUUCAUUGGCCUUUGAACCACUCUAACAUACUUUUAUGAGUAUUCAAUCAUGUGUCGGGCUACUUAACCCAAUGGUUCUCUAUCUAUCUGUCAAAAUUCCACAACAAUAAGAUGCCAAUUUGGAGUAAUUGUU